rnacentral:rRNA from 1 species
GACGAACCGUCCAAACGUUAUUCGGAAUCACUGGGCUUACAGAGUUCGUAGGCGGUCUGGAAAGUUGGGUGUGAAAUCCCUCGGCUCAACCGAGGAACUGCGCUCAAAACUGCCAGACUCGAGGGAGAUAGAGGAAAGCGGAACUGAUGGUGGAGCGGUGAAAUGCGUUGAUAUCAUCAGGAACACCGGUGGCGAAGGCGGCUUUCUGGGUCUUACCUGACGCUGAGGAACGAAAGCGUGGGGAGCGAACAGG